GUGAUACUGAAGCACAUGGCUGCAGCAGACAGUUGUUCCAGAAGUAAUGUCCAGAAGAAAUCUAGAAGAUGCCACAUAAAAAAGUAUCCUAUAUGAUAUCAGGAACAUCUGCAAAAAGCCAGGGAGAGAUACUGGAA